ACGGAGGAUGCAAGCGUUGUCCGGAAUUAUUGGGCGUAAAGAGUUCGUAGGCGGCAUAUCAAGUCUGGUGUUAAAGCCCGAGGCUUAACCUCGGUCAGGCGCUGGAAACUGAUAAGCUAGAGCAUAGUAGAGGCAAGGGGAAUUCCCAGUGUAGCGGUGAAAUGCGUAGAUAUUGGGAGGAACACCAGUGGCGUAAGCGCCUUGCUGGGCUAGUGCUGACGCUGAGGAACGAAAGCCAGGGUAGCGAAUGG
rnacentral:rRNA from 1 species